rnacentral:rRNA from 1 species
GACGAACGCUGGCGGCGUGCCUAAUACAUGCAAGUAGAACGCAGUGGCGAACGGGUGAGUAACGCGUAGGUAACUGCCUCAUAGCGGGGGUUAACUAUUGGAAACGAUAGCUAAUACCGCAUACUGUGAGAAGGAACUGCGUUGUAUUUGCUAGUUGGUGAGGUAAAGGGUCACCAAGGCGACGAUACAUAGCCGACCUGAGAGGGAGAUCGGCCAAAACGGGAACGGGGACCGGCCCAGGCUCCUACGGGGGGGCACAAUAGGGAAUUGUUGGAAAAGGACGGAAAUCUGGCCGAGCAAAUGCGCGGGGGUGAAGGAAGUUUUUGGGGCGUAAAACUGUUUUGUUAGAGGAGCGGUACCUAAACAGAAAGGGCCGGCUAACUACGUGCCAGCAGCCGCGGUAAUUC